UCGGGAAUUUUGGGCAAUGGGCGAAAGCCUGACCUAGCAACGCCGCGUUAGGGAUGAAGUAUUUCGGUAUGUAAACCUCGAAAGAAUGGGAAGAAUAAAUGACGGUACCAUUUAUAAGCUCCGGCUAACUACGUGCCAGCAGCCGCGGUAAUACGUAGGGAGCGAGCGUUGUUCGGAUUUACUGGGCGUAAAGGGCGCGUAGGCGGCGCGGUAAGUCACUUGUGAAAUCUCUGAGCUUAACUCAGAACGGCCAAGUGAUACUGCUGUGCUAGAGUGCGGAAGAGGCAACCGGAAUUCUUGGUGUAGCGGUGAAAUGCGUAGAUAUCAAGAGGAACACCUGAGGCGAAGGCGGGUUGCUGGGCCGACACUGACGCUGAUGCGCGAAAGCCAGGGGAGCAAACG
rnacentral:rRNA from 1 species